AGGACAGGCAGCUAGCCUCCCCUGGGGCAGGCAGGGACCAGAAGAGCCCCAGAGGGUCUUGUAGAACAGAGGCGGAGGAGGAGAGGACAGAAAGGACAGGGAGACAACCAAGCACGCUUAUAAAAACAUUCUUCCCGUGAUGGAGUGCUUCCUUUGGGCUUCUUCGGCUUGUAACAGAUUAAAGGCGAACAGGCAUUUGUCAUGGGGAAGUGUACCCAGUUGUGCUGGAAAAUGGACUUUUCGAUGAGCGUGAGAGCUUGAACCUGUCACAGAGGGGAGAGCCUGUGUUAUUGCAGCCUGCCGGGCCGCGGUGGCCGCUGCGGCUUAUCGGCUGUGGCAGGCAUCACCUACGACUGCAAGGAUCCCAUUACGGAGGCCCUGAAGAGACUGAAUGGGAGAGUGUGACUGCUCCCUGCAAAUCCUCCCCAUGUCUGGACUGAGGAAAUAGCUCGAAGCACCAUCCGUCUCCUGGUGGAGCAGCAGCAGCGUCCAGGGGCUGGGGGCUGAGGCUCCUUGUUUCCAACAAGCUCCUAGGUGAUGGAUGCUGCUGGCAGGUGCACCACACUGAGUUGCAAGACUCGUCCCUCCAGGCACCCCCUUCACAGGUUCAGCAUCCUCGCUGCCAUCUCCUCACAAAUGCGGGAAGGGAGCCACCACCCCAGGCUGGGCUAACUCGCAUGAGGACACCACUAACAUUGUCUGCGUUCCAUUUACGUUAGACAGGCAGGUCUACAAUGUUUGAAGUUUACAGAUUUCUUGGAUAUAGCAGUGAAAGGUUUGUAUUUUUUAUCUGUAAGGAAAAAUUGUGAAGUUUACAUCAUUGCAAAAUAAACAGAACUGUGACUUCUGUUUCACAGGCCUCUGAAGACAUACCCAUUCCUUUUCUUCUGAGCCCGCAGAAGACAACCCUGCCUAGCUUCUUUGCAGCUACGUGGAGACAUGUGACUAGUUUGGCCAAUGGGAUGUGAGAAGAGAUGAUGAAACUCGGAGGAGAACUUGUGAGAUCGCCGUGACUGCUUUUCCCCUGCCACAGUGGCUAAGAGGAUAAGGCUAUCAAGGGUGGAGCCUCUCUAGGCCUGGGUUCCUGGGUGCCUGUGUGGAGCCGAGACCCCAGGCUAACUCACAAUGAACACGCCGUGUGAGGAAGACGUAAAGCUUUAUGUAUUAAGCCACUGGAG
rnacentral:lncRNA from 1 species